AUGAUGCCUUCGAGGUCCGUGCAUGUUGUCCCAAGUGUCCAUAGCAAGCUGGCAAUCUUGGAAAGUAGGUGUGGUCUGCAGAGCUGGCCUCCUUGGCUGGACUCCUGGAUGGAGUCCAAGAACAGCCAGAGGACAUCUAAAUUUGGGGUAAAUCUGAAGCUGUGGUCGCCAAUCCUUGUUUCAGUACUAAUGCUGACCUUCGGAUACCCGUUCGGAGCUCAGAGGGGAGAGGGAUGAAAUUAGCACUGAAGUCUCAUCCUUGCAGGUGCAAUAGAAAAGAUGUUUGCCGCGAGUAGGAAGACGGGGCCUGUGGUCCCUUUCAGCCUCGUGAUAAUAGGGCUCUGUAACGACUGUUCAAUUCCAUCCCCUUCUCUCACUCAAGAAAACGUGGCGGCGGGCAAGUCCCUUUAUGGCCUUUGGCAAGAGGGUGACCCCAAUUGGUCUCGAGAAGAAGGGGUUUCAGAUUUGCCUCCUCUUCUGGUUCAGAUGUUCAGACAAAAUGGCUUUUCUUAGAGCAGGAAAACUGCAAGAGGAAAACAAACGGAUGGAAAGAAAUGAGAUUCUGUUUUUCAGUUUUUAUGUGUGAGAGAAACUAUGCUUUUGCUUCAGGAAGAGGUCUUCGCUUUAAACGAAAUGAAGGAAGGAUACUUGUGAAAAACACUUCACACGCACUUCUUGUUCUGCUUCUUUGAAGGUCACAAUUGCAGAUAUUUUGAUAAAGACAUCCUCUUUAAUGCCUGUGGUCUUUUCACUUGAUGGGGGAGAUACAGCUGUUUAGUCACAGAGCUGCCACCUUACCUUGAAAGAUGGUAGAAGGUAGGAGGUGGGGGAGACAGAAGAAAAGCUUUGUUCGUUUUCCCCAAGGUCGUCUCAUUGUUUUCUAACUGUAUAAGCAUAGCUAUGAUCCCUAUUCCCACGUUCCCGGUUCGGAAUCAUCCCCUUGGUUUCUGAAUGUGUGUUUGGAAUGUGAGAGUGGACUCUCGUUAUUUGGAAUUCUCAAACUAGAAAAAGAAUUUGAAAGGCAUCCUGCGUUGAGGUAAGACCACAGAUAAACCAUCGACUAAAUCCGCAAUCCAUCGUUGCAUUUGUAGCUGAAUCAAGAGGUGGUCAGGUUUUCUUGGGAUCUUUAUCACCAAAGAUAUUUUUAUAUAAGAUACUAAAGACUGUGUAUAUAGUCAGAACACGAAACCCUCGAGCUUAGAAAUAAACUACCUUCUGAGAUAAAAUUUAACA
rnacentral:lncRNA from 1 species